AGCUGCUUUCUCCAUGGACUGUCGGGGUGCGUGGUUGUUUAUAUAGAAUAAGACACAGACGGCGUGGUGGAGCACAUUUCGAUAGGUAGCAGAAAUCGCCUCAACACCUGUUGGAUGUACCGGAGAAGCACGUGCAGUGAGAGCCCAUAACCAAUGAUGAACUGAACAGCUCUUUGUAAACCCUGAGGACACUGAAAAAGGACCGGAACUAGGAUGAUUUUCUGUGGGCUCAACAUCAGAGAAAGGUUGUUCAAGCUCAGGAUGGAUGAGCUCAGACUGACCUGAGAGGGAAAGACCAAACAUGUGGCACAGUGUGAGCUGGACUACCGCACUGGGAAUCAACACAGGCAGGUUCUACGCCUCUGUGUGCUCGCUGGAGGGAGGUGAGAAGAGACAGAAAGAGGCAUAAGCUGAAGAAAAAGUAGCAGAUAUAGACAGAUAGAUACUGCAUGGAAUACAUUAUGGAAACUUGCUAAUAACAGUGCUAAUGUCUUGUAAAGCCUUCAUACUUGGCUGGAUUCUUUGUUUUAGAGCACAGACAGGAAUACUUUGAAGUUGCCUCUCCAAUGAAGAAAGGUGGCCGGUGUUAAAAGUCAUUCUUAAGUGCGGCUCUGAUGAUCCAAAGUUGUUCAAGCGACGGGGGGAAACGGUGCCAUACCUAUGUAACAUUCAUAUCAUUUGAAUUAUAAAUCAGAGUAAGGAGAAGUCUAUGUUCGGAGCUGAUGAAUAUUUAAGGCAUUGAGUAUACAGAUCAUCAUAUUGACAAAGGGAGAAUACUAAUGUCCUCUUCUCUGAGUCUGAUUAGAGGUUAAGCAGAAUGCAAACUGCAUAAUUUAUUUCCAUUCUUGCAUUUUUGUACCUUUUGAUUUGACUCCUCUUCUCUUUUUUUUGAUAACUUCUUUGUGCAGAGGUCUUUUCCUUUUUAAAAGUAAAAUAUGCUGAGAUAGGUGUGGCAUGCAAAUGAGGGAUAAUUGGUGUCAUUUGUUUUAAGCUUGCAGAAGAGAGUGAAAGAUGUACUUUCUUUGUGCAGAGGACUUUUCUUUAGAAAUAUUAGUCUUCCAUUUUCUGCAGCAGUUGACAUCCUCAGAGUGCCUGCUGUCCCCACUGACACAGACAAUGUCCACAGUCUAUUAAAUUGAAUGUUGUAUUUAACUGGUUUGCAGCCAGGGCAAAGUUACACUCUUUUGUAUCCUUCUUUCUCCUCUCUCUGGUGGAAUGUGCUUAUUUCACAGAGAGAGAGAGAGCCCAUGCAGGUGAGAGUGUCUAACAGUGAGGAAAUCAAUAUGAUGUAAAUUAUUAAGAGCUCAGGAAUGCGUCUGACCCCUACUGUCUUGCAGCAGGCUGGGCUCUGAAGGCUGGCAGGUGGACGCGAGCUUGGACUCUCCCUCUAACACUCAUUAGUGGCUGGGAGCCGGGGCUCCUUGUGAGUGGGAAGGCAGGGAUCACAGCGGGGAAGUGAUGGCCCAGGCCUCUCACAUCCCCGGCUCAGCCUUCGCUCCGGCUCUUGCCAGCCUCUCCCUGGAAGCUCAUUAGUAAGUGCACUGAUGCAUAAGAGCUAGUCAUUAGCUGGGCUCUUUUUUUUUUCUGUCUUCAUCUCUCUUUCCCCCCGACACCGUGUCUGAUCCUGAAGACCGGUGGCAGUGGUGGUUUAAAAGACGAAGAGAGAAGACGUCCACAUUACCGCAGGUACUCCAGAUGUAUGGAUAUGAGACAAUGGUAGCCAUCAGAUGAUUUUUUUUCCCUCUUUCCAAGGGUUUAGGGUGGGGGGUGUCAAUUUCUUCAAAUGGACUCCAUCCACAGCCCUUCAAACCAAAGAGUAAACAUUAGCGCUUGACCAGGACUUUGGCUGAGCGCCCCUUUCUUCCUCCAUGCUUGGUUUUGAUCUGGGGUAUUUGCUUUUGCUGCUGGCCAGAUCCCCCUCAGCACCUGAUGGUUGCCUAGGCUCAGAGUAAAUAAGAUCUAGGGGGCCCAGGCCUCUUCGGGGGCUGCUGGGUAAAUAAGGUCUCUGGUGUGUGUAGCGUGCCUGGCAGCAGGGUGAGCACUGGUGUGGAGGCCUCCAGAGACACGCCACCCCCCACCCCCCCUUUCCUAUAUCUAGCUGCUUAAUUCUGUUAUCCCCUCUCUCUCUCUCUCUCUCUCUUUAACUUCAUUCUCCCUCCUCUUUCACCGACACACAAACACAAACCUCCCUCUCAGCAGGCGCUCUGAUUAAUGUUGGACUCAUGAACAUUUACGGCUUCUGAGGCACUUGCAGCAAGACCCGUACGUGUCUGAUAUUACGGAAUUAACUUCUUAUGAUUGGUUAAAGCAGGGGUGUCAAACUCAAGGCCUGGGGACCAAAUCCGUCCUGUGAGGUCAUAUC